AGAACUAAUACAACCCUGUGAACAAAGGGUUUGAGAAAUGUAUGUGUGGGAGUCUGCACAAUAAAUGGGCGUGGAAGUUUCACACUCGGCUCUCAGUCCUGUCAUUCAACAACUUAAUAUAGCACGGGAGGUUUCACAGGGAGACGUCUGCCUCGGAGCUGUUGACUCCUGCUACGGUGAGAGGAAAGGUGUUUGGAUGAGCACGCCUGGGAAUCUGAACUGAAACUUUCCCAUUUGAAGGAAAAAGCUUCUUCUGGCAGGCGUCGCCCUAAACUGGAAUCCUGUCAAGCAGAGAAGGAGACGAUAAAUCUGCCUACAAUCUCAUCGGGACUUGAAUACCGGUCGAAAUAACACGCUGAACAAACUAAGGAGUCCUUGGUUUCACUGAAGGAGUAUAUUAAGACUGAGGAGCGGAUUCCAAAGAGUGCCUUUCAGAUUUGAUCAGACAUGUCUAACUCACCUCAGACAUCUAUAACAGUGGAUGAAGAGGUCCCGCUGAACACCGUGCUAGGGUCAGGUGACGCUUGCAAUCAGCUGAUCAGCAGCGCGGCGUCCUGCUGCGACGACAAGCACCACAGGAAACUGGCCAUCUGCAGCAUCAUCUGUGGGAUCUCCUGCAUCGGAAUCAUAGCUCUGAUAAAUUCAGUCAAGGCCGAGAAAACAAGGGAUCCAGCGACAGCGGCAACGUUUUCACGACAAGCAAGAAAAUUGAGCAUCAUCUCCAUCGUGACAUGGGUUUCCGUGCUAGCCUCAAUCCCCGUGCUACUGGCACUGAUCUCGUAUCUUGUCACUCUGAAAGACUGAUCAACUUUGAUGAACCUCUACGGAAGAUGACUAACGGAGUGGCUCCUCUGAUUUGGUUUGUUUAUGGGCCACAGACAGUGGACAGCAUAAAAGCUGCUUAUCGAUGACUAAAAACCAUGAAGAUAUGAAGAAACCGGUAGUUACAUGAGUCAAUGCUUUGGCCUUUCCUGUGCUGCUGCCCCAGUUUACAUUUUU